AGUGAACGCUGGCGGUAGGCCUAACACAUGCAAGUCGAACGGCAGCACAGUAAGAGCUCGCUCUUACGGGUGGCGAGUGGCGGACGGGUGAGGCAUACAUCGGAAUCUACUUUUUCGUGGGGGAUAACGUAGGGAAACUUACGCUAAUACCGCAUAUGACCUACGGGUGAAAGCAGGGGAUCUUCGGACUUUGCGCGAUUGAAUGAGCCGAUGUCGGAUUAGCUAGUUGGCGGGGUAAAGGCCCACCAAGGCGACGAUCCGUAGCUGGUCUGAGAGGAUGAUCAGCCACACUGGAACUGAGACACGGUCCAGACUCCUACGGGAGGCAGCAGUAGGGAAUAUUGGACAAUGGGCGCAAGCCUGAUCCAGCCAUACCGCGUGAGUGAAGAAGGCCUUCGGGUUGUAAAGCCCUUUUGUUGGGAAAGAAAAGCAGCAGAUUAAUACCCCGCUGUUCUGACGGUACCCAAAGAAUAAGCACCGGCUAACUUCGUG
rnacentral:rRNA from 1 species